rnacentral:lncRNA from 10 species
GCAUGCAGGCAGAAAAAUGCAAAGAGGGUUUGGGAAGACUGGGGUCCUGAUGGGGAGUUUGGAUUUCACUGUGUGUAGCAUGGAGAAUCCUUGAAAAUAUUCAAGAGGUGAAAAUUGUAUAUGUGGAAGAACACCAGGAGUAUGUGAAAAGAAAAACACUCACACAAUUUUAACUCCACUGAAGGGGACAUCAAAGGGAUGUACUGGGGACAUGGGUUGGAGGGUAAUUGAGGCCAUAUCUGGAGGAUCUUUACUUCUAGGUUGAGUCUGAAGUUAUCUUUCUGGGAAGUGGGAGAUUACAAAUCUUUGAGCUCCACUCAAGAGAAGGUUUUGCUAACAAUGGCAGGGCAACAGUGGUGGUGGUGGUGGUGGGAAACUGGUAGCAUGAAUUCUAAUUGGGCUUCUGUUAUUCUAGCUGAGAAAGUUGGGGAAUGGACUUUCAGUAGAAUAAUACAGAUCUGGGAAUCAACUGCAUGGAGGAGGUAGUUAUAGGUGAUGAGAUGGAUCAGGGACGAACUUUGUUAGAAGGAGAAAAGAUACUAGGCUGGUACAAAAAUAAUUGCUAUUUUUGCCAUUACUUUUAAUGGCAAAAUCCGCAAUUACUUUUGCACCAAACUAAUAGGAUGCAAACUUCGGAGCCAUCUACAUCAGAGGGAUUGAUGAAGAUCAACGAAGUUUGGGAACACAGGAAAGGAGCGGGGAGGAUAAUGACUUGAGGGCAUAGCAGGGUAAUCAAGGUUUUUCUUGUUAGCAUGUGGAGACUUAAGCAUGAUUAUAUGUUAAACGCCUGGCACAUACAGGGUGAAAAUAUUUAUAAGUGAAAUGAGGAGUGUGAAGGUGGUGAGUCAUGGGAGUUCCAAGGGAAUGGGUGAUAAAGGGAGGUCUCAAAUGAGGCACAAGUGGAGAAGGUAGCUUGGGAAAGGAGAAGGAUGCUUCUCCUUAUAAGAUGGGAAAGGCAGAGGAAGAGGGUCAAGAUACAGUGAUCUAGGGGUGAUAUGGAAGUGAGUUGAGAGAACUCAACUCUGGGUUCUGAAACCCCUAGGUUUGGGGGGCUUUGAGAUAGGGAAGAGGUUUAAAGUCAGUUGUUCUAGCAAAUAUGGUUUGGAAUUUAUUUGUGAUGCUUAAAAAUAUUGCUGAAGAGAAGUGAAGUCUACCCUAGAGUUGGAUGGUGAGAUUAUUUAGCGGAACUACCAGAUCCAUGUUGUGAUUCUUUCCAGUAUCAUUCAGCUGCCCUUGGGCAGUUGCGAGGCAAGUCAUCAGUGGGGUAUGGAGAUUUUCCAGGUGGGUGUGGUUGAAGGAAGGGAAGAAUGAGUUCAGGAGCACAUUACAAAAAGAAGGUGACUGUAAGGUCUAGGCUGAACAGGAAGGUAAAGCAAGAAAGAAACAUGAGGUUGUGAAGAGAAGUUUAGAGGGAUGAGGAGGCAGGAGAGUUGAAGAGUUGCAGGAUGUAGCUAGAGUGGCGAUGUUAAAUCUUGGGGCCAGAGAGCUUUACAGUGAUGAUGAAGAUCAAGUGGCAUUAGAAUCAAGCUAUAAAGAGCCACUGUUUGAUGUUGGGAUGUGAGGAUGCUGCAGGUGGAUGUCUGCACAUUGAUGGUGAGAACGUGGUCACCCUGGCCCUGCUGGGUCUUUGCUAAAGAGACUGUACUCUGUUCUUGGGGCC